rnacentral:rRNA from 1 species
AUUGAACGCUGGCGGAAUGCUUUACACAUGCAAGUCGAACGGCAGCACGGGAGCUUGCUCCUGGUGGCGAGUGGCGAACGGGUGAGUAAUAUAUCGGAACGUAUCCAAUAAUGGGGGAUAACUAGUCGAAAGAUUAGCUAAUACCGCAUACGCCCUGAGGGGGAAAGCUAGGGACCGCAAGGCCUGGCGUUAAUGGAGCGGCCGAUAUCUGAUUAGCUAGUUGGUGAGGUAAAGGCUCACCAAGGCGACGAUCAGUAGCUGGUCUGAGAGGACGACCAGCCACACUGGAACUGAGACACGGUCCAGACUCCUACGGGAGGCAGCAGUGGGGAAUUUUGGACAAUGGGCGCAAGCCUGAUCCAGCCAUUCCGCGUGAGUGAAGAAGGCCUUCGGGUUGUAAAGCUCUUUCGCAAGGGAAGAAAACUUACCCUCUAACAUAGGGUGAGGCUGACGGUACCUUGAUAAGAAGCACCGGCUAACUACGUGCCAGCCGCCGCAGUAA